UAGUAAUGAAUGUAACAUCAUAACAAACAUAAAACUUUUAACAACGGAUCUCUUGGCUCUCGCAUCGAUGAAGAACGCAGCGAAAUGCGAUAAGUAAUGUGAAUUGCAGAAUUCAGUGAAUCAUCGAAUCUUUGAACGCACCUUGCGCCCUUUGGUAU
rnacentral:rRNA from 1 species